UACGUAGGGGGCGAGCGUUGUCCGGAUUUAUUGGGCGUAAAGAGCUCGUAGGCGGCUGUUCGAGUCGGGUGUGAAAUCCCGAGGCUCAACCUCGGGUCUGCAGUCGAUACGAGCAAACUAGAGUGUUGCAGGGGAGACUGGAAUUCCUGGUGUAGCGGUGAAAUGCGCAGAUAUCAGGAGGAACACCGGUGGGCGAAGGCGGGUCUCUGGGCAACAACUGACGC
rnacentral:rRNA from 1 species